rnacentral:rRNA from 1 species
UACGUAGGUGGCAAGCGUUGUCCGGAUUUACUGGGCGUAAAGAGCGCGCAGGCGGUCGUUCAAGUCGCGUGUGAAAGCCCCCGGCUCAACUGGGGAGGGUCACGCGAUACUGAUCGACUGGAAGGCAGGAGAGGGUAGUGGAAUUCCCGGUGUAGUGGUGAAAUGCGUAGAUAUCGGGAGGAACACCAGUGGCGAAAGCGGCUCUCUGGAACGGUACUGACGCUGAGACGCGAAAGCGUGGGGAGCGAACAGG